UAUUUUGGUGUCCUAGGCGUAUAGGAACUACGUCAAAACAUACUGAACUUGACAGUUAAAUUAUAUUUCGGUGAUGAUACUAUAGGGGGAGCCCUUAGGUAAAAUAAUUAGAUGCCAUUUU
rnacentral:rRNA from 1 species